GCUGCGAUGGCCGAGUGGUUAAGGCGUUUGACUAGAAAUCAAAUGGGAUCUUCCCGCGUAGGUUCGAAUCCUACUCGCAGCG
rnacentral:tRNA from 1 species